rnacentral:ncRNA from 1 species
CAGAGUAGGAAGUUAUGCGUUGCAAAGAACUGAACUUUGCUGGAGUGCCGAAAGACGGGGAGUUGCUUUCGGACGAAUUUACGGUAUGAUUUCCGCAUCCCGCUGU